GGGAAGGUGGCUCAGAGGUAGAGUGCUUGCCUUGCAAGUAUGACUCCCUGGGUUCAAUUCCUCAGCACUACUU
rfam:Dipodomys ordii contig_47578, whole genome shotgun sequence.